AAAACAUAAUAAGUUUAUGUUAAUUAAAAAAAAACAUGAGCAGAUGGAGGCAAUGGAACCAAGGACCAAGUACCUUGCUUAAGGAGGGCAUUAAACUCGAGAUCAUAAUCAACCAAAGCAAUAGGCUCAAGAUCAGAAUCAACCAAAGCAAUAUAUGGAUAAGGAAUAGGAUAGCGAACCGAUAAAUUGGAGCGAAAUUUGGGUUUGAGCAGUCGGUGUUGGAGCCAGAGCAAGCGCUGAUGGCUAUGGUUGAACGGGAAGAGGCUGGGGGGCGAUGGCGGGUGCAGAUGCCAGAUCAGGAGCGGGUUAUGGAUGCUGGACUGGUGCUAUCGCACCCAAAACAGGUGCUGAUGUCGGGGCUGGUGGUGGUGCCAGCCAGAGCAGGCGCUAAAUGGGGAGGCGAUGGGUUAAGAUGGCAACAUGAGCUGGAGAUUCCGUAUGGGCUUGAGAGAUGUAGAUGGAGGGAGAGACGGCUGUGAGUUUUUUGGUUUUGGAAUGUGAUAGUCUGAUAGAGAGAAAUUUUACAUUAUAUAUGUGGGUUGACCUAGGGUUUUAAUCGGGUUGCUGUUAGGGGUGGCAAUUUCCGACUCGACCCGUUACACGACCCAAAACCAAAAAACUCACAGCCGUCUCUCCCUCCAUCUACAUCUCUCAAGCCCAUACGGAAUCUCCAGCUCAUGUUGCCAUCUUAACCCAUCGCCUCCCCAUUUAGCGCCUGCUCUGGCUGGCACCACCACCAGCCCCGACAUCAGCACCUGUUUUGGGUGCGAUAGCACCAGUCCAGCAUCCAUAACCCGCUCCUGAUCUGGCAUCUGCACCCGUCAUCGCCCCCCAGCCUCUUCCCGUUCAACCAUAGCCAUCAGCGCUUGCUCUGGCUCCAACACCGGCUGCUCAAACCCAAAUUUCGCUCCAAUUUAUCGGUUCGCUAUCCUAUUCCUUAUCCAUAUAUUGCUUUGGUUGAUUCUGAUCUUGAGCCUAUUGCUUUGGUUGAUUAUGAUCUCGAGUUUAAUGCCCUCCUUAAGCAAGAUGAAUGUUUUAGAAGAUGGGGGUGACAGUGUUAACGGUGGAGCAGCUACAAGUGAUGUGCAAGAAUCAAAUCCAGCUAACAAUAACAGUACCAGCGAAAUAAAUCAGUUUGGUAAGAGACGUAAACUCACAUCACAUGUAUGGACUAAGUUUGAAAUUCUUCCUAUCGAUCCAAAUAAUAAGGUUUAUGCAAAGUGCAUGAAAUGUGGUCAUAAAUACCUCUGUGAUAGUAAAUAUGGUACUGGAAAUUUGAAGCGUCAUCUUGAUUCUUGUUUGAAAUCUGAUACUCGCGAUUUGGGCCAGUUAUUAAUAUCUAAAUCUGAAGGGGCUAUCAUGACAAGGUCUGCCAAGUUUGAUCCUAAUAAAUUUCGUGAAUUACUGGUGAUGGCAAUUAUCAUGCAUGAUCUGCCCUUUCAAUUUGUUGAGUAUGUUGGAAUUAGGGAAGUGUUUAAUUACAUUUGUGCUGAUAUUAAAUUGAUAUCUCGAAAUACUGCAAAGGCUGAUGUGUUGAGUAUGUACAAUAGAGAAAAGGGUAAGCUUAAGGAACUUUUGGGUUCAAUCCCUGGAAGAGUUUGUUUGACAUCUGAUUUGUGGACUUCUAUAACCAUCUUACUGCUCAUUUUAUUGAUGCUAAUUGGAAAUUGCAAAAAAGAAUUUUGAAUUUCAGUUUUAUGCCUCCUCAUAGUGGGUGUUGCAUUGUGUGAGAAAAUCUAUACGUUGUUGACUUCUUGGGGGGUGGAAAAGAAACUUUUUUCUAUGACUUUGGACAAUUGCUGUAAUAUUGGAUCCUAGAUAUAAAAUGCAGUUUGUGGAAUUUUGUUAUAAAAGGUUGUAUGGUUCAAAUUCCCAAGAAAUGGCCAAAGUUCGUGAUAUGUUGUAUACACUCUUUGAUUUAUACAUGCAAACACAUUCUACGUCUGAAUCAGUUGCUGGUACAUCAAGUAGCUCAAAUGGUGUUCAUUCUCAUAUUGAUGACAUGAUUUCUAAGGAAUGCAUGGAUGUUAUGAAGGAAUUUGAUACCUUUGAAAGUGAGGAGUUUACCAUUUCUUCUCAAAAGUCACAGUUGGAAUUGUAUUUGGAUGAGCCUAAA